UACAGAGGUCCCGAGCGUUGUUCGGAUUCACUGGGCGUAAAGGGUGCGCAGGUGGGCUGGUAAGUUCGAUGUGAAAGCCCCGGGCUUAACCCGGGAAAGGCAUUGGAUACUACUGGUCUGGAGGAUUGGAGGGGGGACUGGAAUUCUUGGUGUAGCAGUGAAAUGCGUAGAUAUCAAGAGGAACACCAGUGGCGAAGGCGAGUCUCUGGACAAUUCCUGACACUGAGGCACGAAAGCCAAGGGAGCAAACAGG
rnacentral:rRNA from 1 species